rnacentral:rRNA from 1 species
CUGCGAAUGGCUCAUUAUAUAAGUUAUCGUUUAUUUGAUAGUACCCCUACUACUUGGAUAACCGUGGUAAUUCUAGAGCUAAUACAUGCUAAAAAUCCCGACUUCAGAAGGGAUGUAUUUAUUAGAUUAAAAACCAAUGCCCUCUGGGCUCCCUGGUGAUUCACAAUAACUUUUCGAAUCGCAUGGCCUUGCGCCGGCGAUGGUUCAUUCAAAUUUCUUCCCUAUCAACUUUCGAUGUUUGGGUAUUGGCCAAACAUGGUCGCAACGGGUAACGGAGGGUUAGGGCUCGACCCCGGAGAAGGAGCCUGAGAAACGGCUACUACAUCCAAGGAAGGCAGCAGGCGCGCAAAUUACCCAAUCCCGACUCGGGGAGGUAGUGACAAUAAAUACUGAUACAGGGCUCUUUUGGGUCUUGUAAUUGGAAUGAGUACAAUUUAAAUCCCUUAACGAGGAACAAUUAGAGGGCAAGUCUGGUGCCAGCAGCCGCGGUAAUUCCAGCUCUAAUAGCGUAUAUUAAAGUUGUUGUGGUUAAAAAGCUCGUAGUUGAACCUUGGGCCUGGCUGGCCGGUCCGCCUCACCGCGUGUACUGGUCCGGCCGGGCCUUUCCUUCUGUGGAACCUCAUGCUCUUCACUGGGCGUGGCGGGGAAACAGGACUUUUACUUUGAAAAAAUUAGAGUGCUCCAGGCAGGCCUAUGCUCGAAUACAUUAGCAUGGAAUAAUAAAAUAGGACGUGUGGUUCUAUUUUGUUGGUUUCUAGGACCGCCGUAAUGAUUAAUAGGGACAGUCGGGGGCAUCAGUAUUCAAUUGUCAGAGGUGAAAUUCUUGGAUUUAUUGAAGACUAACUACUGCGAAAGCAUUUGCCAAGGAUGUUUUCAUUAAUCAGGAACGAAAGUUAGGGGAUCGAAGACGAUCAGAUACCGUCGUAGUCUUAACCAUAAACUAUGCCGACUAGGGAUCGGACGAUGUUAUUUUUUGACGCGUUCGGCACCUUACGAGAAAUCAAAGUGCUUGGGCUCCAGGGGG